UGCCAACUAGGAAAAGUAAGGAGGCUCUUCUGGUCUCAUGACUCAGCUGUGAGAUUACUUUUGCACCUCCCCCAAUGAAAUCCAUACUUCUAGUCCACAAAAGACUAGGCUUCACUUACAGCCAUGUCAUUCUAGUGCCUCCAGCAGCCGUCAGUGAAUGAAAACACAUCAAAGGAAGCAACUAAUCGUCUGUACAAAGGUGGAGCUGACGUGAUCAGAAUCCACAGGAGCCCAGGCACUUUGCCAUCCACCAAUCUGCCUGCCUAUUGUAGAAGUGCCUUCUCAAAACUGACAGCUGGAAUAUAGAACUCAAUUCCCUCUCUCUCUAAUAUUAAUAAAACUAAGAGGAAGUUAAUUCUGGAUGAAGACUUACUGCAUGAUGACAUGAUGAGCAGUUCCUUGACAAUAAAUCCAAAUGCGAAGAAGCCGAUUAACUACAUGUGUCUGGCUGUUGCAGUAACCUCUGUGUGCAGUAACUGCUUAUGGGUCAUGAAGAUGGUGAUUUGACAGUACCUUUGUCUGAAGAAGGAUUAACAUCAUACACUAGCAAGUCAUAACGUUAUGCUAGAAAAGUAAUCCAGAUUAUGUUGUAGAGUAACUGGACUAUGUGCUCAUCAGAUACUGAGCUAAGAUAUAGCAAAAAAAGCAAUCCCUAUGAAUUUUCAAAACCCAAAACAUUUGUGUAAUUUCACAGUGAUCAGUAGCCAUACAAAUGGUUUGACCUCCAGCAUCUGAAGGCAGUAAUUUUCCAUGAUACUCUGCAAAUAUUUACUUAUUUAUUGAUCGGGAAAGUCUGACUAGGACAGAGCCUAUUUUCAGGGCAGGCUCAGGAAGAAACUCUCCAGAUGCAUGUCUUUGGAUUGUGGGAGGAAAUCUU